GUCCUCGCUUCCGUCCUCCUCCCUCCCUCCUCCCUCCCGUCCUCCACCCCUCGAUUCAGUUUGUCGGCGUCGAUCUGGCCAACCAGAAACCACGGCUGAGUCCCCCAGGUUGUUGCGAGAAGCUGUGGAGAAGUUUCAAUGCCGCGGCUCCCGCGGAUUGAUGAUUCCGGUGCGGUGGUUCCCGUUGGUAGAAGUUGUUUCGGGGCUGCGCCUCCCCGAAUCGUCGAUACUGUGCCCGGCCGACCUUCGUGGGCGAGUCUGCGACGAGAUUUGGCGUCGCGCCUGCGCGAAUCGACGAUUCUGAGGCCGCUUGAGCUGUCGGCAGAGAAUUCGGGGAGGCAGAGCAUCAGCUAUUCGUAGUUCUGAAUUUGUCCUUUUCUACAAGCAGACUUUUCUAACACCAGCGCUUGGUCAUAAUGGAAUCUUCACCGCAAAACUUGUCCAAGGCAGGACAGUCGAUAACUCGAAAUACAUUAAGAUGAAGGAGAAGUUGCAGCUCCAGCUUAAAGUCAGUGCUGAUGAAACAGAAGUGCACCAAGAUCAUCAUAUUGCAUCUCAGUUACCAGAAACAAAGGAAGUUCCAACUGUAGGUGAGCAUGGUGAAGGCGCAGCUGAUGUUGGUGAUGGCCUUGCAGGAAGUGUACCCUCUAAAAAAAUAAACCAGUUUCAAACAGUUCUGGGAGAAGCCUUGAAGAAAAAUGAUGUUUUAAAAAGUUCUGGGAGAGAUUCCUACAGCCAUGGGAGAAGCCUGGGGAAGUUUGUACAUCCUGCUAUGCUUUGUAUAGGUUCUUAUGUGCAAACAGAUAGACAUGAUGAUUUUGGCAGAGCACAGGUUCUACAAGUUUGAUGUUUUUUCGCUAUUCUAACACCGGUAUGGUUUCCGGUGGACAUGGACACGCUUCUCCAAGUUUAGUUCUAUGUACAUGCAGUUUUAUCAGUGACUAAACUGAUGCAACUAUUAUCCUGGUUACAAAUAUUA